rnacentral:rRNA from 1 species
GACAGAGGAUGCAAGCGUUAUCCGGAAUGAUUGGGCGUAAAGCGUCUGUAGGUGGCUUUUAAGUCCGCCGUCAAAUCCCAGGGCUCAACCCUGGACAGGCGGUGGAAACUACCAAGCUGGAGUACGGUAGGGGCAGAGGGAAUUUCCGGUGGAGCGGUGAAAUGCGUAGAGAUACGGGAAGAACACCAAUGGCGAAAGCACAUCUGCUAGGGCCGAAACUGACACUGAGAGACGAAAGCUAGGGGAGCGAAUGGG